UAGGGAAUAUUGCACAAUGGAGGAAACUCUGAUGCAGCGACGCCGCGUGAGUGAUGAAGGCCUUCGGGUCGUAAAGCUCUGUCGCAGGGGAAUAAGACAGUGAAUGUACCCUGCAAGAAAGGAUCGGCUAACUUCGUGCCAGCAGCCGCGGUAAGACGAGGGAUCCUAGCGUUGUUCGGAAUCAUUGGGCGUAAAGCGGGUGUAGGUGGCUUUGUAAGUCAGGUGUGAAAUCCCAGGGCUCAACCCUGGACGUGCAUUUGAUACUGCGAAGCUUGAGUGUAGGAGAGGAUAGUAGAAUUCCUGGUGUAGUGGUGAAAUACGUAGAUAUCAGGAGGAAUACCGGAGGCGAAGGCGGCUAUCUGGCCUAACACUGACACUCAGACCCGAAAGCGUGGGGAUCAAACAG
rnacentral:rRNA from 1 species